GCGAAAUGUGCRGGAGCAGCAGCGAAGAUAGCACAUGCCUGAAAUCACGAGAGUGAGACUACCCCUUUGAAUUAAGCAUAUGAGUAAAGRGRGGAAAAGAAACUAACRRGGAUUCCURUAGUAGCGGCGAGCGAAGAAGGAACAGCCCCGAGUGUAAUCACCUAAUUAAUAUAGAGUGAGAUGUCAUWAAUCUAUAGAACGAUGUUGAAACUUCGGCCUGAGAGGGUGAUAGCCCCGUAAAAUAGAUGUAACAMGGGAGUAGCAGUGUUUGGUAUUGCACUGUGAAAGGGUGGCAGCGCCCAUCCAAGGCUAAAUACAAAGCGAGACCGAUAGUGAAUAAGUAGAGCGAUCGAAAAACGAAUAGACUGAAAAAGUGAAA
rnacentral:rRNA from 1 species